CCAAGGGAUGUCACAGAGAUCUCUCUGCAAUCAGCGGAAACUUGAGUCGCCAUCAGAUCCAGUGAGCUGCCUUGUGCUGGCGUUGUAUGAGAGACUGGACAGAUGGAGAACUCUCGCAGGUGGAGAUGUUGGCUGAAGAACAUACAGUGGCUGAAGUUUCUCUCCUGCCUUCUCAGUUUCAUUUGAGAAUUGUGAUGACCCAAAAGGAACAUCCACCAAAGCUGCCUUCGCCAUCCUGCGUAUGUUACAACAAAUCAAAGGGCUCAUUGCUUUGACAUAGAAUGAUGACCUCAAACAGUUUGAAGAAUCUGACCUCCCACUAACAAGGCCCCAGUUCCAGCUGAAGAAAAAGAGCACCAAAGCAUGAUGCUGCCACCAACAUGCUUCACUAUAUUUUGAUGUUUAUGUUGCUUGUGAUGUUGACAUGACAACUAAGUACUGUUUGGGGUCACUUCCACAUUGCCAGCAAGAAAUAUGGUGCCCUCACUACACCACACUAGAUCACUUGUCAGAGCGUUACCAACCACAACUUUCAAGAAUUUUUUUAUUGUUGUUGCAAUCUUGGGUUGUGUGACGAUGACUUCACCAUAUUUUUUGUUUCUGUCCAAGCUCACAUGACCGUGGACAUGUUGGCAUAAUCUUUCUUUCUUCGUACUAAUGUUUCCUGUUCUCUAUUAACCAUGAUGUCUGGCCCUCUGUUGUAGUUUUUUCCUAACUGCAAAAUGCAAAUGUUUUGACUCAAGACAGAAAUUAUUUUGCACUCACUAUUCUUAUAUGACAGGUGACGUAAAAUGCAACAAGGGGUCUUCAGAUCAGAUAUUUUCAUCACUGCAGUGCAGAUCCCAAUGUACUACUCCCUGAGCAGCAAGUAGAAAAAUUACCCCGGAAUUAUGACAUUACACGUUAGUUCCAGCAAUUUAAACAAACAAUGGUCUUCCUAAAGUGCCUACAUUUGGACAGCUCGGCUUCUGCAUGCUCUCUGCUGAUUGUCUUACAAACGGGAUUUGCAAGCUGCUUUGGGCAUCUGGCGUAAAAACUGAGCCAUGCAUGUUGGAAACGUAUUGUAGCAAUCUAAUAAGAGAAGGCAAAAAGAAGAUAUACUGCCAUAUAUCUUCUAUUACAGUACAUCCAUUCAAUGCCAUUUCCACUGUUCACUGGACUAUGUUACAAUAGUGUCCUCUGAGUUUUCAUAGUAAAAUGUUGAAUGAUUAUUGAGCUAAUUUUACCUAUUAAGUUGACAUAAUAAUAAGGUCCAUAAAACUUUAUAAGGCUGAUGUGAGGAACAAGUUGCCUGAAGUGGUUGUAAAUCCAAGACGAUACAUAAAUCCAAGGAUUAGCUGUACACUGUUACUUCUGGCUGCAUGAAUUGAUACAGUGCUUGUCAUUAAAGACUUAGUAAAAUAAUUUCUUGAUCUUUCUUGGACGCAGAGGCAGUUUUGUCUAUGACCACUAUGUUUCUGAGUGUUCCAUGAAUGGCACUAGGCAGAAUUCAGACCCCAUUCAAGGCCAAACUUAAUUGUACACCUUCAU